CGGACUUGUCCGGGGGCAAAGCCGCGAACGGGUGAGUAACACGUGGGUUAUCUGCCCCAAUGACCGGGACAACUCGAGGAAACUCGAGCUAAUACCGGAUGUGCUCUUCGGAGGAAAGGAAGCUUCGGCCUCCGCAUUGGGAUGAGCCCGCGGCGCAUUAGCUAGUUGGUGAGGUAACGGCUCACCAAGGCGACGAUGCGUAGCUGGUCUGAGAGGACGAUCAGCCACACUGGAACUGAGACACGGUCCAGACUCCUACGGGAGGCAGCAGUGGGGAAUCUUGCGCAAUGCACGAAAGUGUGACGCAGCAACGCCGCGUGCGGGAAGAAGGUCUUCGGAUCGUAAACCGCUUUCAGUUGGGACGAGGGUUACACGGUGAAUAGCCGGCGUGACUGACGGUACCUUCAGAAGAAGCCCCGGCUAACUACGUGCCAGCAGCCGCGGUAAUACGUAGGGGGCAAGCGUUAUCCGGAAUCAUUGGGCGUAAAGCGCGUGUAGGCGGUUCCGUAAGUCCGCUCUGAAAGCCCAGGGCUCAACCCUGGGAGGCGGGUGGAUACUACGGAACUGGAGUACGGAAGAGGAGAUUGGAAUUCCUGGUGUAGCGGUGAAAUGCGCAGAUAUCAGGAGGAACACCAACAGCGAAGGCAGAUCUCUGGGACGUUACUGACGCUGAGACGCGAAAGC
rnacentral:rRNA from 1 species